rnacentral:rRNA from 1 species
ACUGACAGCCAUGGUUACCGCGGCUGCUGGCACGGAGUUAGCCGGUGCUUCUUCUGUGAGUGAUGUCCUUCCUGCCGGCUAUUAACCCGCAGGCCUUCUUCCUCACUGAAAGUGCUUUACAACCCGAAGGCCUUCUUCACACACGCGGCAUGGCUGGAUCAGGGUUGCCCCCGAUUGUCCAAUAUUCCCCACUGCUGCCUCCCGUAGGAGUCUGGGCCGUGUCUCAGUCCCAGUGUGGCUGAUCAUCCUCUCAGACCAGCUACGGAUCGUCGCCUUGGUGAGCCGUUACCUCACCAACCAGCUAAUCCGACAUAGGCUCAUCCGAUAGCGCGAGGCCCGAAGGUCCCCCGCUUUCCCCCGGUAGGGCGUAUGCGGUAUUAGCCUGGGUUUCCCCAGGUUAUCCCCCGACUACCGGGCAGAUUCCUAUGCAUUACUCACCCGUCCGCCGCUCGCCACCAGGGAGCAAGCUCCCCGUGCUGCCGCUCGACUUGCAUGUGUUAGGCCUGCCGCCAGCGUUCAAU